rnacentral:rRNA from 1 species
UGCGUAGGCGGCUCAAUCAGUCAGGGGUUAAAGGCAGCGGCUUAACCGUUGUACUGCCUUUGAUACUGUUGAGCUUGAGUAUAUGUGAGGAAGCUGGAAUGCGUGGUGUAGCGGUGAAAUGCAUAGAUAUCACGCAGAACGCCGAUUGCGAAGGCAGGUUUCUAGCAUAAAACUGACGCUGAGGCACGAAAGCGUGGGGAGCGAACAGGAUUAGAUACCCUGGUAGUCC